rnacentral:rRNA from 1 species
GAUGAACGCUGGCGGCGUGCCUAAUACAUGCAAGUCGAGCGAACAGACGAGGAGCUUGCUCCUCUGACGUUAGCGGCGGACGGGUGAGUAACACGUGGAUAACCUACCUAUAAGACUGGGAUAACUUCGGGAAACCGGAGCUAAUACCGGAUAAUAUAUUGAACCGCAUGGUUCAAUAGUGAAAGACGGUUUUGCUGUCACUUAUAGAUGGAUCCGCGCCGCAUUAGCUAGUUGGUAAGGUAACGGCUUACCAAGGCAACGAUGCGUAGCCGACCUGAGAGGGUGAUCGCCCACACUGGAACUGAGACGCGGUCCAGACUCCUACGGGAGGCAGCAGUAGGGAAUCUUCCGCAAUGGGCGAAAGCCUGACGGAGCAACGCCGCGUGAGUGAUGAAGGUCUUCGGAUCGUAAAACUCUGUUAUUAGGGAAGAACAAAUGUGUAAGUAACUAUGCACGUCUUGACGGUACCUAAUCAGAAAGCCACGGCUAACUACGUG